UACGGGGGGGGCAAGCGUUGUUCGGAAUUACUGGGCGUAAAGGGCUCGUAGGCGGCCAACUAAGUCAGACGUGAAAUCCCUCGGCUUAACCGGGGAACUGCGUCUGAUACUGGAUGGCUUGAGUGUGGGAGAGGGAUGCGGAAUUCCAGGUGUAGCGGUGAAAUGCGUAGAUAUCUGGAGGAACACCGGUGGCGAAGGCGGCAUCCUGGACCAUGACUGACGCUGAGUGAGCGAAAGCCAGGGGAGCAAACGGG
rnacentral:rRNA from 1 species